GGGAGCAUUGUCGCAAAACUAAUGGCAGGCAAGGCAUAACCGUCGGUUUCCAAAGUUCAAUUUGUCAGUUAUAGAUUCAUUUGUUGAUGAAGGUCUUCUUGCGCCAUUGCAGCUCUCUUGCGACUCCGAAUCUAAAGAAAGUCAAUACCCAAUCAAUCAGAGAAAUCCAAAUUCUCCAGCUCUGCAAGUCCGGCUUGCUUCUCGAUGCGAUUCAAAUCCUAAACUCAUUAGACUGGACCAACAUCUCCAAUAAACCCCUUGCAUAUGCCUCUCUCUUACAAACCUGCACUAAAGUCCUCUCUUUCAAUCAUGGCCUCCAAAUCCACGCCCAUGUCAUUAAAUCCGGUCUUGAGACUGAUAGAUUUGUUGGCAAUAGCUUGCUCUCUCUUUAUUUCAAGUUGUGUUCCGAUUUUGUGGAGACAAGGAAAGUUUUUGAUGGUUUGUUUGCCAAAGAUGUGGUAUCUUGGUCUUCAAUGAUAUCGGGGUAUAUUCGGGUAGGGAAACCCAAGAGCUCGCUUGUUUUGUUCGGGGAAAUGUUGGAUUUUGGAGUGGAGCCAAAUGGGUUCACUUUAUCUGCCGUGAUUAAGGCAUGCUCGGAGAUGGGGGACUUGAGGCUUGGCAGAUGCUUUCAUGGGAUGGUUAUAAUACGUGGAUUUGAUUCGAAUCAUGUCAUGUCUAGUGCUUUGAUCGAUAUGUAUGGAAGGAAUUACGGGUGGGAGGAUGCACGGCAGUUGUUCGACGAGUUGACUCAACCAGACGCUAUUUGCUGGACAUCAGUAAUUUCAGCAUUGACGAGGAAUGAUUUGUACGAGGAAGCAUUGGAAUUCUUUUAUUCAAUGCAAAGAAAAUAUGGGUUGUCCGCGGAUGGAUAUACCUUUGGGACAGUGUUGACUGCUUGUGGUAAUUUAGGGAAGUUGAAGCGAGGAAGAGAAGUGCACGCUAAGGUCAUUACAUCUGGACUCUGUGGAAAUAUUGUUGUUGAGAGCAGCCUUGUGGACAUGUAUGGAAAAUGUGGAUUGGUUCACGAAUCUCAGCACGUUUUUGAUCGGAUGUCUCAAAAGAAUUCAGUUUCUUGGUGUGCGUUACUCGGUGGAUACUGUCAAAAUGGAGACUUUCAUUCUGUGUUCAAGGUUUUCCGGGAAAUGAAAGAAGUUGAUCUAUACUGUUUUGGGACUAUCAUCCGCGCAUGUGCAGGCUUGGCUGCUGUAAAUCUAGGGAAAGAGGUUCACUGCCAGUAUUUCAGGAGGUGUGGUUGGAGGGAUGUUAUUGCAGAAUCAGCUUUAGUUGAUCUUUAUGCAAAAUGCGGUUGUAUUGAUUUUGCAUAUAGAAUCUUUAUACAAAUGCCAACACGAAAUUUGAUAACGUGGAACUCAAUGAUUUAUGGUUUUGCUCAAAAUGGAAGAGGGCUAGAAGCUCUUGGAAUGUUUGAUGAGAUGGUCAAAGAUGGGAUAAGUCCUGAUUAUAUUAGUUUCAUCGGGGUUCUCUUUGCUUGCAGCCAUACAGGUUUGGUUGAUGAGGGGAAGAAAUAUUUUUCCUUAAUGACCAAAGACUAUGAGAUCAAGGCUGGAAUUGAGCACUACAAUUGCAUGGUUGAUCUUCUAGGCCGCGCUGUCUUAUUAGAAGAAGCUGAGAAUAUGAUAAAUGAUUCAGAUUUUAGAGAUGAUUCAUCUCUCUGGGAAGUUCUUCUUGGUGCCUCCACAACCUAUAAAGACUCUACUACUUCAGAGCGUAUAGCAAAGAAAAUGAUGGAAUUGAGACCUGAUCACCACUUGAGUUAUGUGUACCUAGCUAAUGUCUACAGAGCAGUGGGGCGGUGGAAUGAUGCGUUAGCAAUUAGGAAGUUGAUGGAAGAUAGAGGUGUUAAAAAGACGCCUGGAAAGAGCUGGAUUUAGACUAACAAGAACUUGGGUCAUAAAUUUGGGAGGCUCAUGCCGGCAGUUCAGGACACAAAAGUUUUUAAAUGUUUCCUUGAUCCUUAAAAGGAAUGUUUUAAAGGCUGACUGAUAUCAUAGACCAGGAAUGAUCAAAUUUCCCAUUGUCUGUGCUGCUGCUGUUCUGAAACCUAGUUUUCCCUUAGUCUUGAAUCUCAGACAGUGUGCAUGAGCGUUCAAUUCACCGACUACAAAGGCAACUGGCGUGCACAUUGAAGUUCCAUUGCUGAUAGAUACGGUUGCAGAAUGUUGUUCCUCAGAGCACAACAGAUGAUUUCAGGCAGGUUUCAGGAAGAAAAUAUGCAGGAACAAGCAAAAGUAAGAACGCUAAACUCGAUCUUCGGCCUUGCUUGUUUAAGUGAAAGAAGGGACCGAUGUUCGGUAUACUGUGGUUCCUCAAUCUUUCAGAAGUUCAAAGCUAACCGUCUUGGUCUUCUGAACAGCGGUUGAAUGAGAUCUCAUCAUCAUGGAAUGGAGCCUCAUUAUUUUAUUUUUUCUUAAUGAACAUUUUCAUACUAUAUUCCUUGAAAUGAAUGCCUUACAAAUCCUAAAGAUUUUCCAAUUUGAGAGGAUUGAGAGUGAAUAAUGAAUUUUUUAUGGUGCCAAGAGACCAUUUCUCUUUAAAUUUCUUUCCCUGUAAUGAGGAAUUUUUAUGAGGCCAAUCUUUUUCAGUGCUUGAAAACUGAAAA